rnacentral:rRNA from 1 species
GACGAACGCUGGCGGCGCGCCUAACACAUGCAAGUCGAACGAGCGAGAGAGAGCUUGCUUUCUCGAGCGAGUGGCGAACGGGUGAGUAACGCGUGAGGAACCUGCCUCAAAGAGGGGGACAACAGUUGGAAACGACUGCUAAUACCGCAUAAGCCCACAGCUCGGCAUCGAGCAGAGGGAAAAGGAGCAAUCCGCUUUGAGAUGGCCUCGCGUCCGAUUAGCUAGUUGGUGAGGUAACGGCCCACCAAGGCGACGAUCGGUAGCCGGACUGAGAGGUUGAACGGCCACAUUGGGACUGAGACACGGCCCAGACUCCUACGGGAGGCAGCAGUGGGGAAUAUUGCACAAUGGGGGAAACCCUGAUGCAGCGACGCCGCGUGGAGGAAGAAGGUCUUCGGAUUGUAAACUCCUGUUGUUGAGGAAGAUAAUGACGGUACUCAACAAGGAAGUGACGGCUA